rnacentral:lncRNA from 1 species
CUGACUUGCCCAGUCUGGAAGCUCCCUGAAAGCCUGGCAGGCCACCCUACUUCAGCUGCAUUCGGUCCAUACACUGAGGGUCUCAGUGGGGAAAAAGCAGAGUCAUUUUAAAGAAACAUGGAUCUUAGUUUCUAGAAGGUUUUUCCCCAUCUGGCAGACAAAUUUAUGCCUAUUCCACACACAGUUCUGGAGGCUGGGAGGUUCAAGAUCAAGAUGCAGGCAGAUUCAUCUCCUGUUUAAAGUAGAGAUAUCAUGGGGAAAAGUGAGAAGUGACAUGUAUAAUUAUGGUCACAUUGAGGGAGGAAGAGACACCAUCUGGAAUGCAGGCAGAAAGCCAUGUGAAGCUCCCUGUGAGGGAAGGACUGUGGAACUGUCAAUCAUGACCAUGAGCCUUAUGCCUGAACACUCUUUCAGAUCACAAGUAGUUGCCUGUUAAAGUUGGAAUAAUGUGGAGAGAGAGUACUGAACUUCUCCUCGUGGGACCAAAGGCAAGUUCUUCUCAUGGUAAGAGUGGAAGAGAAAUAGGGCAAGUGGAAGUGACACACCAUCCUUUCUCAUUUUAUUGGCCAACACCAGUCACAUGACUAACCUCAAAGUCAAAAGGAGGAGAAAUAUAUUCUGUCUGGUCUGUAGCUCAAGUAUCUGCUUAUCCUGGAAGUCUCUAAGAAAUUGAAUGGAAAUAAUCUCAAGAAAAUAUCCUUAAGGAUAAAUUAUUCCUUAUAUAUUUUUUUGUUUAUAAAAAAGAAAACAAAACAAGAAAAGAAAAUCAUGUUCCUUUCAAUGGUUCUUGUACAUUAAUUCCUUCUUUGCUUGCUAGUUUAAGAAUUAGUGCAAUUCCCAUAAAAAUUAGAAUUAGUAAGGUAGUACAAUGAUUUUCUAGAGACUGAGUUUCAUAAUACUUUUAGAUUUUAAAUAUGGUACAUGUUUUAACAAAGUACAGCUAAAGUCUUUUUGGAUCGGACACAAGUUAUGCCACGAGUGCUUAACUUUUUAUAAAUGAGAUGAGUAUAGGAAUUCAAGAGCAGAGGUUCCUGUGGGGAGACCAUUCUCCUGUCUUAUUUGAUGAGUGAUGUGCUAAUCCCAGCACUGAAGCUGUUGGCAGAAAGGAAAGACUUCCGAAAUUGACAGGACUCGUGUGUGGAACUGCCAUGGGUCCGUGGGCUGCCACAGAAUUAUGCAGGAAAUAAUUUUCAAGGAAACAAGAAGGAAAACAUGAUUGGGUCCAAAAUUCUAUCAUUGUUUUAUUGAAAAAGCAAAUCUCUUCUCUAGCUUGAAAUGCUAGAGCUACAAUUUAUUUCUUCUUAAGUUUGUCCCAGUGGGAGUCACAGGCCGGGUCAUAUGGGGUGAUGACCACCUUUCCACCUCCUCUAAUGCUCGCCCCUGGAGUCCAGCUUCCCCCAGAGACUUAUGAAAAGGAAGGGUAGGGUGGAGGCUGGCACCAAACCAAGAAGAAAUAAGAAUCUUGUCAUGUGGUGAGAACUGUUAGCUCAACAUAUUUCUGGUGAUGGCCUGACCUGGAGUCUGAGGUGUCCACGUUUACAGUCAUCUCUACGGUUGAUUAUGGUACUGCAUCUCCAGGAGGCACCCGGCAAAAGGAAAGCGUUAACUUGGCAAACAACUGACUCACAGCGACAGAGCUGUGCAUUGAGUGGGAUUUAAAAUGAAAAUGGAGAAAGAGGGAGUAUUAAUCCUUGAAGAGCUGAUGAAAGCUGGCUGCUAUGGGGACAGCAAAUAUCCUUUGGAAAUAAGCGUGAGUGAGCGAGGUUUCGGAGAAAACAAUGAAGAGAGGCAGAACUAAAACGAAUGGUGUCAGAGGCCUGUAUGUCCAUGUAUUAAACAGUUGCCCACUGGAAGAGUCUUUCCAUUUGCCACACUGGAUGCCACACUGGAUGGGAUAAUCUAGGAGGGAGGAACUGUGGAGAUGGUGCGCCUUGGGAUGUCCAGAAGACAGUGACCAGAAUUUCAAGAGAUGUUUUCAGAUUUCACAGUAUAAUAAGAGAAAAGGAGCCAAUCCCUUAAAUGAAGAACCUUCAAUCACUUCUCCCCAGGUGCACGUUUCAAUUUCAUUUCUUUUCAUCAACUCCUUCCCUUUGAUGAUGGGUUGCAUUGAAAACUAUUAAGAAAAGUAGGAUAUUUAAAAUGAACUGUGUUAAGAAGAGGAUCAUUUCAAAGAAUCUAUUCUGAGGAAGUGCCUUCAGCCAAUCAAAAAGCUAAAGAAACUGGAUAUAAUGUGAAUCUAGUGUAAAUUACCAUGAUGUCUCCUUCAACAUUCAUCAAGACUUCUGACUAGUCUACUUGAUCUGUGAAAAUGAGAUUACUUGAAGACCUGUCACAGAUUUUAAAGCAGAACACGAUAUAUUGAUUAUACAAAUAUUUUUAUGUCACCCUGUAUCUUAAUAAAAUAACAUUUACGUCUGGA